rnacentral:lncRNA from 1 species
CUCGGGUUAAUGAUCUGCUCAUGGCAUCUCAAUGUGUGACCGCGAGGGUAAUGUCCUUCCCUCCUCCAUCACUGGAGAGGGGCAGGCGCAGACCCAGCAGUGCCUUGGGGCACGGUGCCUGCUAGGGCAGGUCCCCGAUGCCCCUGGAAGCGGGCCUGGGGGUCCCGGGGUGAGAACCCUGGGGCGACUGUGCGUGCGUGACCCAAGCCUGUGGUUUCCCGGUGCAGGAACCCGGCUCAGAGGAGGUGUGCUACACCGUCAUCAGCCAUCCGCCCCUGCGCCGGCCCUCGCUGAGCUCCAACGACGACGGCUACGAGAACGUCGACCGCGCCUCGCGGCGCCUGGGGCGGUCCAGGGGCUCCCAGGAAACGGAGUACGCGCUGCUGAGGACCUCCACUGCCAGCCCCAUGGCCAGCACCCUGGAGCACGACUACGAGCUCGUGCUUCCGUGCUAGAGCCCGCUGCCGCCCCCAGCGAGGCCCGCGGGGCCAGGUCCGCUGCGGGUCUCUGCGCUGCCCGGGCGGCUUGUGGGCGGCGCCCCUGUGACUUGGGUGGGGUCACCUGGUCGCAGCGGCGCUGAGCGUGCACACUCUGCCUGCCAAGCCGGAGGUCGCCGAGGGUGGUACCUCCAGCACCGCGGUGCGCCGCGCAGGUCCUCGCAGCUCAGGUCCUGUCAUUUCUCCAGUUGCUGGCGCGGCACCUCCACUUGUACCUGCUCAUUUGGACCUGUCGUCUGCUUAAUAAACCCUCAGACCCAAGACCGAGGGCGGACUCUGCCGACCUGACACUGACUGACCCUGCUUUUGUCUUCUCCGGUCUUUCUCAGAGGAGGGACGCAAGUGUCCCAGAAAGAAAGGACAAAGGAUUCGGACGUGGUUGCUCGUCAGUCCAACCGUAAAGAUGAGGAUUCUUUUCAAAGAUUAGUAAAAAAUGAAAACAAACAAAACUUCACCGAAAGUCCCUGUGCUUAUUUAUGGCUUUGCUCGCAGCUCACUGCGACACAAGGCUGGUUUUAACGCCUGCAUUCCCGGUGAACCUCAGGAGUGAGCCUCUGAUGACCGCCCUUCCUGAGAAGCUGCAGGCCAGAGCCCACAGUGUCUCCCAUAGCCACAGGGUCCCCCCUCCCACCCCAUGAGCACUCAUGCAGGACUCCAACCAAGCUCUGCCUGUCCUACUUGUUGCAUGCAGAUUUUGACUAGUUUUGUGCUUCUUGGUGGUGAUGUCGUUGUCUGAAAGAACUUAAUGGAAAUCGAGUAACCGCCAUCCUGUUGGUCUAGUAAAAAUCAGACCACUUUAUGCAAACUGACAAAGUUAUUUACUCCCUGUAUGUCUCUGUCCUUAUUCCUAGUGUAUAAUAAGCCUGGCGUUGAAGGUGAGAUUGAGGGGCUGUGGUAGGGCUUGGUGGGCAGCUGGGGACUGGAAGGAGGGUGACCUCAGAGUUGGGGACAGGGAAGCCCAGGAAGUCGUGUGCUAAGUCCUUGGUCAUGCUAAGUCUUACCUGUUCAUCUGUUAGUGGACCUUUUGACAAGCAGGGUUUAUAAUUUUGAUGAGGUUAGAAUUAUGAAUCAUUUUAAUAUUUUGCUUUCUGUGUCCUAACUGACCAUUUUAGGCUCCCAAGUUAUGAGCAUGUUCUCCUGUGAUCUUGUGUUAGGCUUUGUGGUUUGAGCUUUUCCAAUUAGAAUUCUGAUGAAUAUCAGAUCAAUUCUGUUCACAGUGUAGUGUCAUGAAAUUAUAUUCUCAGAUUACAUUGAAAUGUAACCAUCUGUUUUAAUAUUCUCUUCUCUGCAUUAGAUCCACUGUAGACUGUUAAACAGAUGAUUGCUCACUGUUUGUGGUUAUAUUGUCACCAAAAAAUGUUCCUGCAGAGGAGACCUCAGCUCAGGACCAGGGAGGCUCUCCAUCCAUCUGAUUCAGAAGGAUUUCAGCACGUGUUAGUCAGAGACAGACUUAUUUGGGAAAGUGGAUACACAUUCAAGGGGGAAAUUUGGCCCAUCUGGAGAGUGGGUCCCAGGAUUCUUCUUCAAAGGAACCUGGAUGAGUUGUGUGGGAAGGACAUCAGUCUGGUGACCACAGAUGGUUUAUGAUGGUCUGGUGUUCUCAGGAUCCUCAGACUGAUGUGUUCUCUAUUACUGUUUGGUAGAUAAUGCUGGAAAAUCCCCUAACUUAUAGUUUUAUAAUUUUCUUAAAAUACAUUGUUAAGGGGCAGACAGAUGUGACUGGCGGAAACAUGAGGUUAAGGGAAUAAUUCUACAAAAUGGGCCUACUGUGCUGACCCCUGAAUACUUUUACUUUCAAAAAACAAUUUCCCUGCAGUUCUGUCUGGCCUAAGUGGACAGGAUAUGUCACAUUCCUGUUAUCUGCAGGGGAAAUGCAGGCCUUGAAAUGCUGAUAAGAACAACACAGUCACCCUGAAGGGGGAGACUUUUGUGACCCUUACACAGAACCAGUCAGCAUGGGCCAAAGUGACCUAGAGUAGUCAUGGCAGUGGGGACUUGAAAGUCUGAUGUCAUCCUGCUGUCAGACCAAAGUCGGGAGUUUUCUGGAUUCUCUGGAAAGUUCCCUGGGAAUCCUCCAACAAAACUGGAGGGAAGCAGAGGCACACUGUCCCUCUUCUGUCUGAGAGGACCCUCUCUCUCUCCCCCCUGACAGUUCCUUUUCCCAUCCCUUGUAAUGAACUCAUGCCUGCUACUCUGAGUGCCGGGUCUGAGAUUGACUUAAUCACAAGAGUCGAGGUUUGAAGGGAAUCUUUGCGCUGCCUGGGUUUCCCAGAAGCUUCACCCUGUAGCUGAUUGAGUUACUGGCCACUUGGGUUCAACUCCAUCUCAGGACUCCUCUCCUCCCAGAAGGUCAGCGGUGGGGUGGGGCUGGAGAGUCCUUUCAUCCCAGAACUUCUAGGGGACCCUGCCAUCCUCUAGCUGGCCCUAAAGCAGGUGGGCCAGAGGGGCAUUCUUAGGGGUAACCCAAAGCAGUUCUCCUAGGAAAUUCUGUGGUUUUAAAAGCAGCCUGUGCUUGGAAUUUGGGGAAAAUUUAUAUACUUUUUAUUUUACAAAAUAUAAAUAUUUCCAUUAAAUGUAUUUGUGACAAGUAAGCAUUGCAGCCAGCCAAAAUACUCUUCCUUCCCAUUUUUUUGUCAAUUGUGUUAACUCUAAAUUUCCACAAGAAAGAUUACAACUUUUUUCAUAUUUGCAUAUUCUGCUCCAAGAAACUCAAGAUUGAUUUGUAGAACUAGUGCCAAGCUCAGGCUGCACCUCUCCUUGAUCAGGACUUUCUUGCUGGCCAAAUUGUACUCAGCCCCUUUGAACUCUUUCCCAAAGGGACUGACACUCAGCUUCCAUUACAGUCUCUGUGUUGUCCAAGUUUAGCAAGUAACCUGCUGUAGGUGACCAGGGACACCCUCAGGGUAAGGCACUGUUUGCAUCAGGUUCAUCAUCCUCUACCCCUGGGGGAGGCCUGGCCGCUGCCCCAGCCUGCCUUCAGCAAGAAUCCUGUGGAACUGACUUAGUGGGUGUAUCUUGGUGUUUCUUCCUAGAAACGCUCCACACUGACCAUCCUGCUCCUCUUCUCUAAAUUCUCCAGUCCGAUUUAUAUCUGGAUUUGAGCCCAGUCUCUCUCCCCUGCUGCAAAACCCCAUUACAACAGACAGAUUCACAUGAGGGAAACAAAUGGAGUUCAUUACACUGAGUUUUACAAUCCACGGAAGAGAUCAGGGGAUCAGUAAUCCUCAAACAGGCAACCCAGACCUCCAGUGUCCGUGGCACCUUCAAUAAGAUUAGUGAAUUGUUAAAGUGACAAGGAAAAGGGAGAAGACUUCAGGUCUCCAGGAACAGCAGGCUGUGGGAAGGCAAAUAGCUGGCAGAUAAGGGAGAGUCGGGCAUCUCCUUCUAUAGAUUCCUCCUGUACCACCUCCAGGGGGAAGGUUUCAUUAUUGGUUGGGGCAGGAGGACCCUCACAGCUGGGGCCGUGUCCUGCCCCAGGCAAAGGGGACUCAGAGGCCCUUCCUGCACCAGCUCCUCCCAUGGCACUCAGCUUAAAACACUGAUGUUGAAGAGACAUUCACUGCUGAUCCACUAUGUCAAUCCAGUUCUUCUUAAGAGUACAUUUCAAUUUUGUGCAAUCAAUCCUAACAUUUUUUGAUUUACAUAAGUGAUGCUUGCUAGUGACCUGAAAUUUCAGUGUAUCAAUACAUGGUUGUCGAUUUGAUCUUUAAAUCAAUAAAAGCUGCCCUAUUUUGCCAAUUUGGUGUUUUUAUCUUGAAAUUGUGUUGAAUUUUUCUA